GACGAACGCUGGCGGCGUGCUUAACACAUGCAAGUCGAACGGUAAGGCCCCUUCGGGGGUACACGAGUGGCGAACGGGUGAGUAACACGUGAGCAACCUGCCCUUGACUCUGGAAUAACAGUUGUAAACAGCUGCUAAUACUGGAUAUUCAUCGUCUCCUUCCUGGGGGGUGGUGGAAAGCUCCGGCGGUCAGGGAUGGGCUCGCGGCCUAUCAGCUUGUUGGUGAGGUAAUGGCUCACCAAGGCUUCGACGGGUAGCCGGCCUGAGAGGGCGACCGGCCACACUGGGACUGAGAUACGGCCCAGACUCCUACGGGAGGCAGCAGUGGGGAAUAUUGCACAAUGGGCGCAAGCCUGAUGCAGCAACGCCGCGUGCGGGAUGACGGCCUUCGGGUUGUAAACCGCUUUCAGUAGGGACGAAGGGUGACUGACGGUACCUACAGAAGAAGGACCGGCUAACUACGUG
rnacentral:rRNA from 1 species